rnacentral:tRNA from 1 species
GUCCCUAUAGCUCAACGGAUAGAGCGCAAGCUUGCGGAGCUUGAAAUUAGGGUUCGAUUCCCUAUGGGGACA